rnacentral:rRNA from 1 species
GACGAACGCUGGCGGCGUGCCUAACACAUGCAAGUCGAGCGGAGUCAGUAAGAGGAAGAUUUCGGAUGGAAUCUUAUUGAUUUAGCGGCGGACGGGUGAGUAACGCGUGAGCGACCAACCUUGCACAGGGGGAUCACGGACCGAAAGGUUCACUAAUACCGCAUGAGACCACGGUGUUGCAUGACAAAGGGGUCAAAGGAGUAAUCCGGUGCAAGACGGGCUCGCGUCCGAGUAGGUAGUUGGAGGGGUAACGGCCCACCAAGCCUAGUAGCGGUAGCCGACCUGAGAGGGUGAUCGGCCACAUUGGAACUGAGAUACGGUCCAAACUCCUACGGGAGGCAGCAGUGGGGAAUAUUGGGCAAUGGGGGAAACCCUGACCCAGCAACGCCGCGUGAAGGAAGAAGGUUUUCGGAUUGUAAACUUCUGUCCUUGGUGAAGAGAAGAAGACGGUAGCCAAGGAGGAAGCCCCGGCUAACUACGUGCCAGCAGCCGCAGUAA